ACCCUGGUUUUCUUUGUAAAUAUUGUCAACUUGAUUGGUUUUUUAGUAUUUCAUUCAUUUCUCGAUUUAAAAAUAAUUGUAUAUACAAUAUUCAGUUAUAACGAGGAGAUUGCAGAAUUAAAAUUUUCAUGUAAGGGCGGUGGAGACGAUUUCUCGUCGUGGGCUGCUUGAGGAUUCUCAAUCAGCGAAUCACUUCCUGCUUAGGGAGAGCUAGGGUUUCGAUGUUCUUCUCGUCGGCUAGGGAUUUGGAAUCAGCGAUGAUCGCAACAGCUGCCUCUGAUGCGGACGAUUUGGAAGCUGUUAAAGAGCCAGGAGCAGAUGAAUCGGUUGAUGAUUUACCAUCGCUGCUAGAUGCUCCGGCGGAGGCGGAGGAUCUACGCUGGGACUUGAGCUCAUGCUCGCGGCGCUCUUCCUCGCGAAGCUUUUGGAGUUUGUUCUGAAAUUUGUACGGUACUGGUCAUCGCAGCUAUUCUCUUCGUCGGUUACUUAGCUUACGAGGCAAAGAAGAGCUUGUCGAAGCUCUCGAAUCGGAGAUCUUACAUUAUGAUCGCUUAUUACGGAUGCCUUUGGCUUGUUAGCUUGCUCAAUCUUGCUUGGUGUUGCCUUCAGGCAUGGAAUGCACACCUGGGAAAGAAGUAGUUUGGAAUGUAUUAACUCUGUUCAUAACAUCUGGAAUGUUGUUUCUGUAAGUAAGCUUGGUAGCCUACUUGAAGCGAUUGAAACUCUCUGUGGGUAAGAAUGAAAACAUUCUUGAAAUGAUAAACAUAUCUUCUUGAUACAACGUCUGGAGCAAUUGUACAAUGUGGUAUUUAUUUUCAAAUAUGAUUUACAUGGACUCUGACGAAAUAUGUUCCAUUCUACGGUGGAUCUGAGUAUCAUGAUUGCCAUCAUUUUACUUUUUGUUUUUUGA